rnacentral:rRNA from 1 species
CGACCGGCGCACGGGUGAGUAACGCGUAUCCAACCUUCCCCGUUAGUAGAGGAUAGCCCGGCGUAAAGUCGGAUUAAUACUCUAUGUUCUUCAAUGCGGACAUCUAAGUUGAAGCAAAGAUUUAUCGCUAAGGGAUGGGGAUGCGUCUGAUUAGGUUGCAGGCGGGGUAACGGCCCACCUGGCCUACGAUCAGUAGGGGUUCUGAGAGGAAGGUCCCCCACACUGGUACUGAGACACGGACCAGACUCCUACGGGAGGCAGCAGUGAGGAAUAUUGGUCAAUGGGGCGCGAGCCUGAACCAGCCAAGUAGCGUGCAGGAACCGACUUGCCCUAUGGGUUGUAAACUGCUUUUAUCAGGGAAUAAAGUGAGGCACGCGUGCCUUUUUGUAUGUACCUGAUGAAUAAGGACCGGCUAAUUCCGUGCCAGCAGCGGC